rnacentral:snRNA from 1 species
AUCUUUGCGCUUGGGGCAAUGACGCAGCUAGUGAGGUUUUAACCGAGGCGCGUCUAUUGCUGGUUGAAAACUAUUUCCAAACCCCCUCUUAGGCCUUGGUUUUGCCUAGGCCUUUGAGAAUUUUUGAAAGAGUUCCCUUUGGGAUAAACU